CCCCUAGUAACUGCGAGUGAAGCGGGAAAAGCUCAAAUUUAAAAUCUGGCAGCUUUGGCUGUCCGAGUUGUAGUCUGGAGAAGCGUUUUCUGUGCUGGACCGUGUACAAGUCUCUUGGAAUAGAGCGUCAUAGAGGGUGAGAAUCCCGUCUUUGACACGGACUGCCAGUGCUUUGUGAUGCGCUCUCAAAGAGUCGAGUUGUUUGGGAAUGCAGCUCAAAAUGGGUGGUAAAUUCCAUCUAAAGCUAAAUAUUGGCGAGAGACCGAUAGCGAACAAGUACCGUGAGGGAAAGAUGAAAAGCACUUUGGAAAGAGAGUUAAACAGUACGUGAAAUUGUUGAAAGGGAAACGCUUGAAGUCAGUCGCGUGUGCUAGAACUCAGCCUGGUUUUUACCUGGUGCAUUUUCUAGUACACGGGCCAGCAUCAAUUUUGACCGCUGGAUAAAGGCCUCAGGAAUGUGGCACCUUCGGGUGUGUUAUAGCCUGGGGUUGUAUACAGCGGUUGGGAUUGAGGAUCUCAGCAUGCCUUUUGGCCGGGGUUCGCCCACGUUCAUGCUUAGGAUGCUGGCGUAAUGGCUUUAAACGACCCGUCUUGAAACACGGACCAAGGAGUCUAACAUGCCUGCGAGUGUUUGGGUGGAAAACCCGAGCGCGAAAUGAAAGUGAAAGUUGGGAUCCCUGUCGCGGGGAGCACCGACGCCCGGACCAGACCUUCUGUGACGGAUCCGCGGUAGAGCAUGUAUGUUGGGACCCGAAAGAUGGUGAACUAUGCCUGAAUAGGGUGAAGCCAGAGGAAACUCUGGUGGAGGCUCGUAGCGAUUCUGACGUGCAAAUCGAUCGUCAAAUUUGGGUAUAGGGGCGAAAGACUAAUCGAACCAUCUAGUAGCU
rnacentral:rRNA from 1 species